AUUGAACGCUGGCGGCAUGCUUUACACAUGCAAGUCGAACGGCAGCGCGGGCUUCGGCCUGGCGGCGAGUGGCGAACGGGUGAGUAAUGCAUCGGAACGUGCCCAGUAGUGGGGGAUAGCCCGGCGAAAGCCGGAUUAAUACCGCAUACGACCUGAGGGUGAAAGCGGGGGACCGAAAGGCCUCGCGCUAUUGGAGCGGCCGAUGUCGGAUUAGCUAGUUGGUGGGGUAAAGGCUUACCAAGGCGACGAUCCGUAGCUGGUCUGAGAGGACGACCAGCCACACUGGAACGGAGACACGGCCCAGACUCCUACGGGAGGCAGCAGUGGGAAUUUUGGACAAUGGGGGCAACCCUGAUCCAGCCAUGCCGCGUGCGGGAAGAAGGCCUUCGGGUUGUAAACCGCUUUUGUUCGGGAAGAAAUCCUCUGGGCUAAUACCCCGGGGGGAUGACGGUACCGGAAGAAUAAGCACCGGCUAACUACGUG
rnacentral:rRNA from 1 species